rnacentral:rRNA from 2 species
GAUUGCGGCACUAUCAGCUGAUUGUCACUUGGUGUGUCGUGAGAAGUUCAUUGAACCUUAUCAUUUAGAGGAAGGAGAAGUCGUAACAAGGUUUCCGUAGGUGAACCUGCGGAAGGAUCAUUG